UCUUAUGGAUGAGCAAAAAAACUGGUUUCUUGAGGUGGAAUCUACUCUUGCUGAAGGUGCUGUGAA
rnacentral:pre_miRNA from 1 species